rnacentral:rRNA from 1 species
GUCCUACGGGAGGCAGCAGUGGGGAAUAUUGCACAAUGGGGGGAACCCUGAUGCAGCGACGCCGCGUGGGUGAAGGAGCACCUCGGUGCGUAAAGCCUUAUCGGCAGGGAAGAAAAGCGAACAGGUUCGCCUGGACGGUACCUGACUAAGAAGCCCCGGCUAACUACGUGCCAGCAGCCGCGGUAAUACGUAGGGGGCAAGCGUUAUCCGGAUUUACUGGGUGUAAAGGGAGCGUAGACGGCGAUGCAAGUCUGAAGUGAAAGGCGGGGGCCCAACCCCCGGACUGCUUUGGAAACUGGAUGGCG